rnacentral:tRNA from 1 species
CACAUGGCAGUCCCAUUGCACCCCGCCCCAUCCCCUUGAGCCCUCGCCCCGGCCCCCGUACGUUCUUGAACACGA